GACGAACGCUGGCGGCGUGCUUAACACAUGCAAGUCGAACGGGAAGGCCUCUUUCGGGGGGUACUCGAGUGGCGAACGGGUGAGUAACACGUGAGUAACCUGCCCUUGACUUUGGGAUAACUUCAGGAAACUGGGGCUAAUACCGGAUAGGAGCUCCUGCUGCAUGGUGGGGGUUGGAAAGUUUCGGCGGUUGGGGAUGGACUCGCGGCUUAUCAGCUUGUUGGUGGGGUAGUGGCUUACCAAGGCUUUGACGGGUAGCCGGCCUGAGAGGGUGACCGGCCACAUUGGGACUGAGAUACGGCCCAGACUCCUACGGGAGGCAGCAGUGGGGAAUAUUGCACAAUGGGUGGAAGCCUGAUGCAGCAACGCCGUGUGCGGGAUGACGGCCUUCGGGUUGUAAACCGCUUUCGCUCAUGACGAAGCUUUGUGUGACGGUAGUGGGUAAAGAAGCACCGGCUAACUACGUG
rnacentral:rRNA from 1 species